rnacentral:tRNA from 1 species
GGCUGGUUAGCUCAGUGGUUUGAGCACGGUGCUGACAACAAUGACCGACACCAAGGUCGCGGGUUCGAUUCCUGCUCAGUCU